CUCCCUGGCGGGCCGGGCGAGGCAGCCGCAAGGCUGACCGGUUCCCCACCUCUCAGACCGGCUUUCCACCCUCGCCGUCUGGCCCGCCGCCCUC
rnacentral:antisense_RNA from 1 species